GGGAGGGGCCCGCUUCGCAGGCGGCGGCGGAGGCGGUGCAGGGCGCCAGGGCCACGUCCUCGGGGCCACCGCAGGGCGGAGGCGCGUACUUGCGGCGCAAGGAGCGGCUGACGUUCUGCGUCGGGUACCCCAGGAGCCAAGUCGCCGCAGGCCCCUCCGCCGACCCCGCCGCCGUUGCUGUAGCCGAAGGCACCGCGGGCGACGCCCCCGGAACCCCCGCAGCAGCAGCAGACGAGCCCCCAGAUGCCUACGGCCAGGCAGCCCAGCGCCAGCAGAGAGCCCAGCACCGCGCCGAUGAUCACGCCUACACGCCGGGAGUCUGUGGAGAGAAGUGGAGGCUGGUCAGGCUUUCACACAGCAUGGCAGGUGCCUGAGGACCAGGACCAGGAGGUGCCAGGGCAGGGGUUAGUGGGAAAGAAGCAGAGGGACCCAGGGGGUCUCUGAGCCCUGGGACAGGCAGUGGGGAAGAUAUGGGGAGAUGCAAGUUAACUCCUUGUGUCAGCAUGCUUCUCCCAGGGCUUCCAGCACAACGCAGAGUGGAAGCUGUGCUGGGAAGGUGAGACCCCGCUCCAUAGGGGUAGUUGUACCCACUGAUCUUGGCCCACUUGCAGGAGAGGAGAUGGGAGUCCCCAUUGGCAAAUGGAUGGCAGUGGAAAAGCAGAAGCAGCUGAGGCUCUGAACUAAAACCCAGCCACCUCCAGUUCAACCCGCCCAACCACUCAGCCCCUAAGGCUGCUGCACCUACCUGAGACCUUCACCUCCACCACGCAAACACUAUAGCCCACGUUGUUGGCCACUGUGCACUGAUACAGCCCAUCAUCUGCUCUGGAGAUAUCCUUCAACACCAGGUCCCCAUUGUUCAGGCCUGAAAGUGAAGUGGAGAGGCCUGGUCUCUGAGAGCUCCCACCCCAACCUCAGUCCCUGCAGGGUGGGGGAUGGGACACCCACUCCGGAAGAAGGGAAGACUUAUGCAUGUGUGUACAAGUCCGCGCGCACACACACACACACACACACACAUCCACUCCACUCUCCAGGAGAGUCACCUUCCCCCUGCUGUGACAGAGAUGCAAGGAAGACCCCUCUCCCAGCAGCAAGACGGAAACACCAUUAAUUUGCUUGUGACCUUAGGGAAAUAGGUCCCCUCUCUGAGCCUUGGUCUCCUCCUUUGUCCAGUGAGGACAGGAUUAGACCAGCGGAACUCUAACAUCCCCCCUAGCUCUAUUAUUCUUUGGUUGAAUCUUUUCAGCUUCUCUGUGUACUAGGAGCUUUACACACCUCCCCCUCCCCCAUUUAACCCUUGUAUGCUUAUGAAAGGUAUAUAUUAGUAUUCCCUUUCCAUAUAUGAAGAAAUCAAGGCACAGGGAGGGUAAGCCGCUUGCUUUAGACUUGCAGCCAGUCAGUGCCCCUGUCAGGAUUCAAGCCUAGCUCUGCCUGAGACUCUCUCCAAAUUCGCCAUAUUGCUUUUGACUGACUCUGCACAUUUGCCUUAUCAUCUCCCCUCAAUAGCAGCUGCUAGGCCUCAGCGCCAUGGCUCACACCUGUAAUCCUAGCACUUUGGGAGGCUGAGGCGGGUGGAUCACCUGAGGUCAGGAGUUCGAGACCAGCCUGGCUAACACAGUGAAACCCUGUUUCUACUAAAAAUACAAAAAUUAGCCAGGUGUGGUGGUGUGUGCCUAUAAUCCCAGCUAUCUGGGAGGCUGAGGCAGGAGAAUCACCUGAACCUGGGAGGCAGAAAUAUAUAUAUAUAGCAGCUGCUGGGGCAGGCACAGAAGGAGGGUCUCCCACAGGGGUUCCAGGUUUGACUUGAGGCCACCCAAGGAAACCCCAACAAGGUCCCAGAGUCCCUGAUCUUCCACUCAUCCCCACACCACCCUCGCCCAGGGCCCUCUCACCUUGGCUUAUGGAGUUGUGGAAGGACUCCUGGUAGGACAGCUCAGAGUGGUAGCUGUGCUGGGAGAUGUACGACCCAGCUCGAUAGGGGUAAUGGUGCCCACUGAUCUUGGCCCACUUGUAAGAGAGGGGCUGGGAGCCCCCAUUGGCAUAGCACUUCAGCACCACGUCGUUGCCAUAUGUCAUGUGGCCUUCAGUCCAGCACAUGGGCACUGCGGGUCGUGCUGCAAGGAGGCAGACAAUUGUAAGCCAGGGCCCAGCAGAGAGACAGCCAGGCUCACAGCAACCAAGCUGCCCUUGGCUCUGAAGCCAGGGGAAGAGGAGCUCAGAGGAGUCUUGCCAUACCUUGGACAGUGACAAUGACCUUCCGGGUGGCCAUGGUGGUCUUCUUCACCCGGCAUUCAUAGGUGGCUGUAUCAGAUACCUGCAGGUUCAUGAGGUUGAUGGAGGCAUCGUACUGGCUCGGGUCCGAGGCUGCAAAGCGGACCCUCUGCUGCAGAUGGGGAAGGUUGCCAUGAUUGAUCCUCUUGUCCUGGUAACUAAGGAACUGUGAAGAGGAGAGGAGAACAGGUGGUGAAACAGGCAGAGCCGAGGAGGGCCAUGUGGGUUUGGCUACUUUGGGCAAUUCACUGAACUUCUCUGAGACUCCGUUUUCUCAACUGAAAAAUGAGAAUGAUCAUGCCUGAUCCACUGACCUCUUACAAAACUGAGGAGAUCAAACAAUUGGAAAAGUAUACGGUCAGACUGGGAACUUUUUGAAGGCAGAGACUGUACCUUAUCUUCCCUUUAGAAUGGGGCGGGAGGAGGAAGACUAACUGGCUAGCUUAAUUCACAGUUGCAGAGCUCUCGUCCCCAUUGCCCCAUUCCCUGAGAGGCCUUGGGGGAGGUUCAAAGACUUAGUUUUCUUCUCCCCUUGGGAUGUUGGCUGUCUAACAGGUAGACAUCAGGAAGCACAGAGGAAGAAGAUCCCAGUGCCCAGCACUCACCACGUUCUCUCGGUGGUGGGCGGGGUCUGAGUUGACCUGCAUCCACUCGAUAUCCAGCCCAUUGGGACCAUAGUCCUCAGGGUCCAGGACAUAGGGGCAGCCCAGCCUCACAUUAUCACCUUCUGCCAGGUACAGGACCUCCUGUCCAUCCCCGUUGAUCCGCACAGCAGACAGCAGUGCUGGGGGAGGGCAGAGAAAACGAGUGGUAGCUGCAGAUCUAGGGCUUCAGGAGGAGUCAGCAUCAUCCCUUCCCUUCACAUCUGCUGUUCACUGCACCCAGAGCCCCAGGCCAAGAGAACAACAGCUCAUUCCUGAGAUAAGGAUCCUGCUGCCAUCUGCCAGAUCCUGAAGUGGCUCAAGGCAAGCCAGGGAUGAGCCAGAACUCGGCUGAGAGGAGAGGCUCCACCCUGGAGAAGAGCCGCUGGAAGCACCCACGCAGGGAGGACUCUCUCCAUGCCAUAGGAGCCUGCCAGGCAGGAGGGUGCUUCCAGAACUCCUGACCCUCCCUCUGGAGGUAAGGGAGUGGAGAAAAGGCAGCUCCAGCUGAGGGUAUUGAAGCGUGAAUGCAGUCAGCACCAAGUGUCCUCGCACACCCAUUGACGCACCGCACAGGGGGAUGUCCAGAUCCCCACAGCACAGCUGGAGCCUCCCAAGUGGACUCCGCCAGCCCUGCUCUCACCAGACAGAGAGGGCUGCGGCUAUCCUGCCAGAAAUGUCAUCAUUCCCACACAGGUGCAUACACUCACAUACACAUUCACGCUCACACAAAAGCUGAAAAUGCACCCCACACACACACUCCUCUUUCGUGCCCCUUCAUCCCAAAUCCAGACCACAGGAGGGACUCAGUGAUGUCGGCACACAAUGUCCCUUGGUGGGACUCACCACAACCUGGGCAGGAAGCUACCAUGUCCAAACUUGAGCCCUGCUCUGCAGACCUGUCCUGGUGGGGUGAGAGGUUUCUGGAGUUGCCAUCCCUGCCACCCUCAGGCCUCAUCCUGGCAUGGGGCACUAUUCUGGAACUCUCAUAGCACACAGGGCCCAGAGCUGAGCUCUCAUUGGCCACAAUGGAAGCAAUCAAUCACUCAGACUUACGCCAGCCUUAGUCUCUUGCCCUUUCAAGGCAAGUGACUCCCCUGCCCCUUGGACCUGGCCUUGGAAGAGAAGUCGCCCUGGGAAUAGCACACAGUCUGAUGAAAAUUUAUCCUUCCCAGGUUCCUCCUCCUACCCCACCUCCAGCUCCCACAGAGUAAUCCCUGUCCUUCCAGGCACAGCAUGAGCUUGCAGGGCACCUGCGCACAUGUGUGAGCCCCACAGGGGACAUGCAAAGAUCCACUCAAAGACCCUCACACCACAGACACCCACCCUGAUCCUCAGGCACAGGCUCUCCUGGGGAGAGGACCCCUGGCAAUACCCACAUCCGGCUGCAGCAGGGCAAGGGUGGGCAGCACCCCUCCAGGCACCUCAGGCAGCUUCAGGCUCCCCUGUGAGCCCUUGCUGCACCGUUCGUGCCCACCUAGCCUCAUGCUGGCUGUCUCUGCCCACUGCCCAGCCCCGUACCUGGGCUCAGGCACACAAGCAGUAGGUGGAAUGCUCCUCCAGCUCCCAUGUCUCUAGGCUUGGUGUUGCCUCCGCCUGGGCUGGGUAUCCCGUGGGCUGGUGGUGGUGGGUGUGAGGGGGUGGGUGAAGGGAGGGGGAGCUGAGGGCCCAGACACUGCCUGGGGUGGCAGGAAGGUGCAAUGAGUGCCCGACUGGGGAGCAGCCGGAGUUAUUUCUAUGGGAGGGAGGGGGCCUAGUCACCGCCUUGGGGAGGAGUCCCAGGAACCCUAAUUAGCGGGGUGACAGGGUGGCCUACCCAGGCAUUACCCAGCCCUCACCCAAGCUCUUCCCUGUCCCAAGAGUGGCACAGGACAGCCAGCGGAACUUGUAAUUAGGCACCUGUUAAACUUCACUUCCUCCUGGCCACAUCCUCAGGGUGACAACAGUCACCUCGUUUACAGCUUCCAAGAGCUCCCUUCACCACUCAUUUGCUGCCUUCUUCCCUGGGGGAAGUGGGGAAGAGGAAGGAGAAGCCAGGCUUGGGAGGAAGAGUGGCCGGGCCCUGAAGAGUUAAUCCUGAUCCCAGGCCAUAGGGUUCCCCAGCAAUGUCCAGCCCACCUUCCCCAGAGGCCACAGGUCUUUUGAAGGGAGUCACCCCUCCUGAGCUGAAAGAGGAGAGAAUGGGUGUGUGCAGGAACAGAGUCUCCUCCUGGCUGGCCCCUCUGGAACUGUGCUCCCCAAUCAUACCUGACUCAAGACCAUCCGCAAGUGUAAGGGGAUCCAGGGUGACUGAUGGACUAGUGCGGGAGUGUUGGAGAGAACAGUGCCAAGAGGACUGACAGGGGAAGGGGGUCCCUGUGGAAGCAUGUGCACCCCUCAGCAAUGUGUGUGUGGGAGGAAGAGAGGAUGUCUGUGCCAGAUGUCUCUCUGAGGACGGCUAAGCCCCUCUCAGUGAACUUCUUGAGGGAUCGCUUGGUGUCCUGGCUUCUCUGCCCAGAAAGAGGGGCCAGGUCUUGGGGGUGAAUGCAGUCUGAGUAUUAACUGGGUCCUCGAGACCAAGGACCCUCGUAACCUCAACUGGUCAUCAGGCUGACUAAGCCAGCACAGUUCUGGGUAGGUUGGUGCUGGGGUGGGGAGGGUCCUGGCAGGUGGCGAGGGGGCAAGUGGAGGGCCCUCCUUGUUGGCUGGUCUAAGGGGGACAGAACGUGCCUGUGCCUCUCUGGAUUCCAUGGUGGGAGUCAGGACAUGAGUGACCCCAUUCAGUAAGUAGCUCGACUACCUCGAAGGAGUCAGGGACUGUCCCCCUUCCCUAUCGUGGGGCACAGAAAAGGCAGAGGGGGAAGAGUGUUGGGGAGAGUUAUGGGGCACAGGGAUGCUGCCAGGGCCCAUCACUCUGGGGAAAAAUAAGACAGAACAUUAAGAAAACACAAGAAGUCCACGCGUCUCUGCGUUCCAAACCCCUGCACCCAACCCCCAACAAUAACAGGGCACUCAGACUUGGCAGAUGUACACAAUGAAUAUCUUUAUUUCCUUACUUAUUUUUAGGUUUAUGGGAUUUUCCUGCACCCUUUGAAGAGCAGGGAUCAUUAUCCCCAUUUUACAGAUGGGCAAACAGAGGCCUGGAGAAACAUAGGGAUUCAGCCAAGGCAGCUGGGGCCUGAGUUGGGAUACCCAGGUACCCAGGCUGUCAGUCCAGAGUGGUCCAAAGAGAGGUCUCGGUGAUCCUGUGGAUUACUAGACCCACUCACAAACAAGAAGCAUGGAAAGUCAGGGUGGGUGGGAGGGAAAACAGGUGAGUCCAUGAAUAGAGAAAGCAGUAAGGUGGUGGCUUUAUAAAACUGAAGGGCAGGCUUGGGAUGUAACUGGGUUCUGGAUGUGGGCUAGUGUUCGAGCUGGGGUUAAGUCUGGGGUUAGUUGAAUUAUGAAUGAGGUUGAGGUCAGAUUUGAGGUUGGGAUUAGAGCUAAGGUUGGGAUUAGGGUUAGAAAUACAGCCAGAAUUGAGGCUAAGGUUUACGGCUGGGAUUUGUGUUAUGAGAAGGAAUAGAGUUUCAGUUUCAUGUACAGCUCUGCCUGGGGACACAGCUAGGACUAAAUCAAAGGCUGGGUUUAGACUGAUUUAGGAUUGGGGUGACCACUGGGUUAGAACUGAGCUUGAGACUCACGUUGAAAUAGGCUACGGUUAGGUUGGAACAUGGUUUAAAGACAUGUAAGCAGCGGGAGUUGAUGAGAAUUGAAGAUGAGGUUUUAUUUCUGAUAUAGACAGACUUCAGCCUCCAUCUGCUCAAUCCAGGUUUGGCUCGAAUUUUCACCCCUUAGUGUGGGGAGACUACCGGUGGCACAUGUUGACUGGGGUCUCAAGACUUUGAGGAGGAAGCCAAAGGUACACGAGCCCAUCUAAGGGGUAUGAGGCCACCAAAUCCCACAGAGCAUGGACCCUCUGAAGUCCUGCUCCACUACCAAAGCUCCCCAGCUGGCCAAGCUCCAGGAGAAGCAUUUGGGGAAACGAAGGAAGCUAUUGACGAUGAAUGGGGCUCUGACACCAAACUGAACUAGAAGAUGGGGUCCAACAGAGGGAGUCUCACUGGGUGGGAGGAGGGGCGGUCUGCAUUUGGAGUCCUCGGGAGAUAGGAGUUGGGAGAAACUAAGGGCCCACAUGCUCCUAGAACAGCCCCUUUAUGGGGCACCGCAUGGGGGUCCUUCAAAGCCUGAAAGGGCAGAGUGCCAUUGUUGUUCCCCUUGACCUUCUGAGGCUUAAUUGCUACCUCCUUGCAAUUUGAAUCCUGUAAAAGAAGCUGUCAGCCUUCCAGCCCUAUGCCCUGAGCCCUGCAGGAUUUUCAGGGAGGGCAGCGGUGGGGAGGCUGUGGAUGGAGUGAAGGCACUGGGGUGUCAGCAUAGUUUCCACAGCACAUGUCGCUGUCCCACAGUCCCCUCUCUCUGGAAGCAGCCACCGUCUGUGAUUAUCUCUGGGCCUUAUCCUCAGCAGUGGAAGAGGGCCCCACUCCUAGGAAGACCCCAUUCCAACUCCUCCCUCUCAUUUUUCCCAACCCAGUCUCCACCCCAAACACCUCAUUUCCCCACCCACUUCCUUUUCAGCUUUUAUAAAGGUCUGGAUCUAGGAGACUACUGGGGUUCCCUCUGUAGCCCCAGAGAGAGAGAAGAAAGAGAUUGGGAGAGACAGUGAUGUGUUAUAGGGCAGAGACAGAGACUGGGACAGAGACAGACAGAAACACACGUGGUCUAAAUGGCCCCUCCAGAGGCCCAGAGGGAGACAGAGGAGGCAGGGGGCACAGGCCAUGAGCUGAGUCCCAACACCAAUUUCCAAAAGGGCCCCUUGCUUUUUCCUGAGAAAUCCAUGACUCUCCAGGGAAGAACGGCCCUGGUUUGGGUGGUAUUAGCUUCUAUUCUAAGACAGUCACAGAAAGCUAAAGACAGGUCUAGAAAGGAGUAAACAGGGAGAUGCAGGAGGUAGAAAGAGGCUGGACAGAAACCCAGGGAAGUCCAGAGACUGCUUCCAGGAUGAGUGCAGCCCAGCCCCAGAACAUUUUCGGGAAGGGCAGGCAGAGGGCUUGGCCUGCCGACUCUUCCUCCAAAGUCCCUUUCACGGCAACUCCACCCAGCUCCUCUAAGCCCUGCCCUCCUCUGCCUGGGCCUGCCCACCCCAACCCCUCUCACUGGCCGCCAGACUCCCUGGGCUCAGGCUCAGUCAAGCUCCCCACAACCCCUACCUUGGCUGGCACUGGAACUUAACCCUUUUUUUUUUUUAUUUGAGAUGGAAUUUCACUCUUGUUAUCCAGGCUGGAGUGCAAUGGUGCAAUCUCAGCUCACCACAACCUCCGCCUCCUGGGUUCAGGCAAUUCUCCUGCCUCAGCCUCCUGAGUAGCUGGGAUUAUAGGCACGCUCCACCAUGCCCAGCUAAUUUUUUUGUAUUUUUAGUAGAGAUGGGGUUUCGCCAUGUUGACCAGGAUGGUCUCGAUCUCUUGACCUCAUGAUCCACCCACCUAGGCCUCCCAAAGUGCUGGGAUUACAGGCGUGAGCCACCGCGCCGGCCCUGAACUUAACCCUUUCUAGGCUCCUCCGCACGCAGUCAGCAAGCUCCUCAGCCCCCUCUCCCAAGUCCCCAUGCAGCCCAGGGCUCGCCCUGCAGCACCCAGGGAGGAGUUGCCUGCAGAGGAAACCUCUGAGGCAAGACCCUGGGAGAAGCAGCAGUGAGAGACUAUGAAUAGGCAGAGAGUCACAGAGAAGCCAAGGAGCCUUGCAGCUGCUGUCCAUCCACCCGGCUUUCAGUGACGAUUUGGAGGUGGAGGUCUGCCAGGUGAGGCCAUGGUUGCAUGAGAAGGGCAGGGGGCUCAGAGGUUGCAUGGGUGGUGCUGGGACAACAUCGGGUUCUGGUUACAGAGAGAGAUGAGAUCAACACGUGGGGUUAAGUUUGAGGGUGUGGGUUGGGUUCGAGACUGAGGCUCAAAUCAAGGCUGGCAGGGAAGAGCCGUGAACACAGGUGACACAGGGACUCCCCAGACCCUUGCUCAGGUUUCCCAAGCCUCAGUGGUUCUGACUGGUACACUUCAGAAAAAGCGGGAUUCUAGGAUGAGCCUGGAUAUGCCCACAUCUCCCCCAUCAAGCAAUGUCCUGAAGCUGACAGACUCAGAAGAGCAAGCAGCACACACACAGUCCCCAUCAAGUAAAGGAGUGGCUGGCACUGUCACUACAUCAGCAGAGCACAAGAGCAAAGGGAGGCGAUUGAACACCACCAGCUGAACUGUUAGCAAGAAAUGGGUGGACGCAAGAAGAAAUCGCUUGAAAAGCGUAUGUGAUUUCCUGUUGACAGGCCUCAGCAAGAAUGAAGAGGCUCUGAAGAUAAAGGUGUUUUCACCUUGCCAAGACCAGCCACAUCCUGCAGAAUCUCCAUUCAUUCAGCAAGCAGCCAGGCUUUAGGCUAGGCCCUGGGGAAAUGGCAGUUAAGGAGGCUCAGUCUCUAUUCUUACAGAGAACCCCAUCUGAUGGGGAAAUGGCUCCUGGCCCUCAAUGUGGUAAGCUGCAGUAAUAUGUGGGAGGCCCCUGGCCUAGUGGCAAUGAUGUUUAAGCCAAGAUCUGAAGGACAACUAAAAUGGCGUGCCACAGAAAGGAGUAGGGGGUGGAGCGAAGUGGCCAGGGGAAUAUUUCUGGGCUUGGUAAGUAAACCAGGUCCCUGCCAGACAUGGACUGAGAGAAGCAAAGCCAGGAGUGACCGCUGAUGAUUAAGGAAGAUCCUUGAGAACAGAAUUUCUUGGGACCUUCUACCCAGAACACCAGAGCACCUCACAGGGAUCAGAGCCAGGCCCUUGGGUGGAUUAAGCAACCAAAUUGAUUGCUGAACCAUGUGUCUGUCUGUUUACGGAGAGAGAAACUGUGAUGAAUUAAUCCACAGGUCCAAUGGGACUUUGACUUAAUUUGUAGAAAUAAAAUUUAAUUUUGAUUUUG